GCUGGGUGCAGUGGUGCACACCUGUAAUCCAGCAGCUCAGGAGGCUGAGACAGGAGGAUCUUGAGUUCAAAGCCAGCCUUAGCAAAAAAGCAACUCAGUGACACCCUAUCUCUA
rnacentral:sRNA from 1 species